rnacentral:rRNA from 1 species
GUGCGCAGGCGGCUUUGUAAGCCGGAUGUGAAAGCCCGGGGCUUAACCCCGGGUCUGCAUUCGAUACGGGCAGGCUAGAGUGUGGUAGGGGAGAUCGGAAUUCCUGGUGUAGCGGUGAAAUGCGCAGAUAUCAGGAGGAACACCGGUGGCGAAGGCGGAUCUCUGGGCCAUUACUGACGCUGAGGAGCGAAAGCGUGGGGAGCGAACAGGAUUAGAUACCCUGGUAGUCCACGCCGUAAACGUUGGGAACUAGGUGUUGGCCACAUUCCACGUGGUCGGUGCCGCAGCUAACGCAUUAAGUUCCCCGCCUGGGGAGUACGGCCGCAAGGCUAAAACUCAAAGGAAUUGACGGGGGCCCGCACAAGCAGCGGAGCAUGUGGCUUAAUUCGACGCAACGCGAAGAACCUUACCAAGGCUUGACAUAUGCCGGAAACAUCCAGAGAUGGGUGCCCCCUUGUGGUCGGUAUACAGGUGGUGCAUGGUUGUCGUCAGCUCGUGUCGUGAGAUGUUGGGUUAAGUCCCGCAACGAGCGCAACCCUUGUUCUGUGUU